GGGCGGGUGGCGGAAUUGGUAGACGCACCACACUCAAAAUGUGGCGGCCUUACGGUCAUAGGAGUUCGAUUCUCCUCCUGCCCA
rnacentral:tRNA from 8 species